ensembl:snoRNA SNORA70 Small nucleolar RNA SNORA70
CUGCAGCCAGUGAAGCUGACCGUGCUGCCCUCCCCAUGGUGCCCGGUGUGCAGUGGCUGCCAACAGCCACCUCCUGGGUACGGCAUGCAGACUGCUGCUUGUAGAGGCUGCCCUAAGGGACCCUGAAGACAGCC